CGCCAGACUCCUACGGGAGGCAGCAGUGAGGAAUAUUGGUCAAUGGGCUUACGCCUGAACCAGCCAAGUCGCGUGAGGGAAGACUGCCCUAUGGGUUGUAAACCUCUUUUGUCAGGGAGCAAUUGGCGCUACGUGUAGCGUUAUCGAGAGUACCUGAAGAAAAAGCAUCGGCUAACUCCGUGCCAGCAGCCGCGGUAAUACGUAGGGGGCAAGCGUUAUCCGGAAUUACUGGGUGUAAAGGGAGAGUAGGCGGCAAGGUAAGCGAUAUGUGAAAGCCUUAAGCUUAACUUAAGGAUGGCAUAACGAACUAUCUAGCUAGAGUACAGGAGAGGAAAGCGGAAUUCCUAGUGUAGCGGUGAAAUGCGUAGAUAUUAGGAAGAACACCAGUGGCGAAGGCGGCUUUCUGGACUGAAACUGACGCUGAGGCUCGAAAGCGUGGGGAGCGAACAGGAUUAGAUACCCCGGUAU
rnacentral:rRNA from 1 species